rnacentral:rRNA from 1 species
AUUGAACGCUGGCGGCAUGCCUUACACAUGCAAGUCGAACGGCAGCACGGGAGCUUGCUCCUGGUGGCGAGUGGCGAACGGGUGAGUAAUGCAUCGGAACGUGCCCUGAAGUGGGGGAUAACGUAGCGAAAGUUACGCUAAUACCGCAUAUUCUGUGAGCAGGAAAGCAGGGGAUCUUCGGACCUUGCGCUUUUGGAGCGGCCGAUGUCGGAUUAGCUAGUUGGUGGGGUAAAGGCCCACCAAGGCGACGAUCCGUAGCGGGUCUGAGAGGAUGAUCCGCCACACUGGAACUGAGACACGGUCCAGACUCCUACGGGAGGCAGCAGUGGGGAAUUUUGGACAAUGGGGGAAACCCUGAUCCAGCAAUGCCGCGUGUGUGACGAAGGCC